rnacentral:tRNA from 1 species
ACCUGGGAUAGCUCAGCUGGUAGAGAAUGAGACUUUUAAUCUCACGGUUGUGGGUUCAAGCCCCACACUGGGCA